rnacentral:rRNA from 1 species
CACGUAGGGGGCAAGCGUUGUCCGGAUUUAUUGGGCGUAAAGAGCGUGUAGGCGGUUUGGUAGGUCCGCUGUGAAAACUCGAGGCUCAACCUCGAGACGCCGGUGGAAACCAUCAGACUAGAGUCCGGAAGAGGAGAGUGGAAUUCCUGGUGUAGCGGUGAAAUGCGCAGAUAUCAGGAGGAACACCGGUGGGCCGAAGG